AUUGAACGCUGGCGGCAGGCCUAACACAUGCAAGUCGAACGAGUGGCGGACGGGUGAGUAAUGUAUGGGGAUCUGCCUGAUGGCGGGGGAUAACUACUGGAAACGGUAGCUAAUACCGCAUACCAUCAGAUGAACCCAUAUGGGAUUAGCUUGUAGGUGAGGUAACGGCUCACCUAGGCGACGAUCCCUAGCUGGUCUGAGAGGAUGACCAGCCACACUGGAACUGAGACACGGUCCAGACUCCUACGGGAGGCAGCAGUGGGGAAUAUUGCACAAUGGGCGCAAGCCUGAUGCAGCCAUGCCGCGUGUGUGAAGAAGGCCUUCGGGUUGUAAAGCACUUUCAGCGAGGAGGCGUUACUCGCAGAAGAAGCACCGGCUAACUCCGUGCCAGCAGCCGCGGUAAUUC
rnacentral:rRNA from 1 species